rnacentral:lncRNA from 12 species
AUGGAUGCUCCACCAACUGAAUAUUACACAACACUGGGUUAUGUGAAUUCAGACAGUCUGUUUAGCUGCAGGAUGUCAGAGGAGCGAGGAAAGGACUCUCCGUCUGAGAUGAGUCUCUCAGAGGAACAGAGUGUAAGAUUAGGCUCACAUGUGUCCAGCUCUGUGUCUGUGAAGAGUGACCAUUCAAAGGGAGGUGAGCAACCAGACUUAAGUCAGAACAAAUCAUCAUCUCCCGAAAGGUAUUUCAUUGGUUUCUAAUUGUUGGUUGAAAAAAUACAAUAUGCGCACAUACAAAAAUUUUUGGCAGGCGCACGAUCAAAUUAAUCACUUCACUAUAAGUAAACAAGAAUCCACUGCUGCUCCCAAGGAUCAUUUAUUCUUAGAUUCAAUAUAUUCAAAUAAAUUGAUCUUUGGGAGAAGUGGUGGCAGUGUGCUGAUUCUAAUUGUUGGUUGCGCAUAGACUGUUCGUUGAAAAUAUUUUUAAUCAAUAUUUAUCAUGAAACUAUACUGUUGAAAUAUUUAUCAGAUUUUUCAUUAAGAUACUAAGAACAUCAGCAAAGAAGAUUAGAGACAGAAAAGAUUAUAAUGAUUUGAUGUGAACUGUGCUAUUUUGCAAUCUCCAUUAAUUUUGGUGCAGUAACAUAACCGCUCGACAGUGUAUGAAAAUACCUAUUGUCAAUGCUGAAUAUAUAGUUGGUGGACAACCAGAAUGUGUAAUACUGCCGCGUGUACCGCCGCCGCAGGGUUGCGGCAUUAACUGCAAGUCAGUCGCGUGUUAAAAUCAUUCGCGAAACUACUGCCAGGUGCCACAAUGUGACGGAUUGUAAACUGACUGCAAUUGUAACAUUUUGGUUUGUAAACGGAGAUGAAACGAUGAAGUAAAACAACAACAACAUUAUAAUAUAACAUUGCAACAUACUUAAAAAACCAUUAGAAUAUUUACAGUGAGUUAAUUUCAAAACGUGGGAUAGACUUA